UACGUAGGGGGCAAGCGUUUGUCCGGAUUUAUUGGGCGUAAAAGAGCGUUGUAGGCGGCCUGACAGGUCUGCUGUGAAAACUCGAGGCUCAACCUCGAGAUGUCGGCGGAAACCGUCUGGCUAGAGUCCGGAAGAGGAGAGUGGAAUUCCUGGUGUAGCGGUGAAAUGCGCAGAUAUCAGGAGGAACACCAAUUGCGAAAGGCAGCUCGC
rnacentral:rRNA from 1 species